rnacentral:tRNA from 1 species
GAGGGGAGGUCAACCUACAAGAACUGCUAACUCUUGCAUCUGGGUAUAAAACCCCAGUCCCCUUAC